GAUGAACGCUGGCGGCGUGCCUAAUACAUGCAAGUAGAACGCUGAAGCUUGGUGCUUGCACCGAGCGGAUGAGUUGCGAACGGGUGAGUAACGCGUAGGUAACCUGCCUCUUAGCGGGGGAUAACUAUUGGAAACGAUAGCUAAUACCGCAUAAAAGUCGAUAUCGCAUGAUGUUGAUUUGAAAGGUGCAAUUGCAUCACUAAGAGAUGGACCUGCGUUGUAUUAGCUAGUUGGUGAGGUAACGGCUCACCAAGGCGACGAUACAUAGCCGACCUGAGAGGGUGAUCGGCCACACUGGGACUGAGACACGGCCCAGACUCCUACGGGAGGCAGCAGUAGGGAAUCUUCGGCAAUGGGGGCAACCCUGACCGAGCAACGCCGCGUGAGUGAAGAAGGUUUUCGGAUCGUAAAGCUCUGUUGUAAGAGAAGAACGAGUGUGAGAGUGGAAAGUUCACACUG
rnacentral:rRNA from 1 species